GACGAACGCUGGCGGCGUGCUUAACACAUGCAAGUCGAACGGAAAGGCCCUGCUUUUGUGGGGUGCUCGAGUGGCGAACGGGUGAGUAACAAGUGAGUAACCUGCCCUUGACUUUGGGAUAACUUCAGGAAACUGGGGCUAAUACCGGAUAGGAGCUCCUGCUGCAUGGUGGGGGUUGGAAAGUUUCGGCGGUUGGGGAUGGACUCGCGGCUUAUCAGCUUGUUGGGGGGGUAGUGGCUUACCAAGGCUUUGACGGGUAGCCGGCCUGAGAGGGUGACCGGCCACAUUGGGACUGAGAUACGGCCCAGACUCCUACGGGAGGCAGCAGUGGGGAAUAUUGCACAAUGGGCGGAAGCCUGAUGCAGCAGCGCCGCGUGCGGGAUGACGGCCUUCGGGUUGUAAACCGCUUUCGCCUGUUACGAAGCGUGAGUGACGGUAAUGGGUAAAGAAGCACCGGCUAACUACGUG
rnacentral:rRNA from 1 species